CAAGUCGAGCGCAGAUGGAGGUGACACAAAGCGGAUAAGAGAACAGAAUGCGAAGCAUUCUUUUCCUUUGUAUUCUUUGUGUCACUUCUUGAUGAGCGGCAGACGGGUGAGUAACGCGUUGGAAUCUACCCCAGAGUGAGGGAUAGCCCGGAGAAAUCCGGAUUAAUACCGCAUAGUCCCGAGAGGGUAAAAGAGCAAUCUGCUCUGGGAGGAUCCUGCGUCCUAUCAGCUAGUUGGCGGGGUAAAAGCCCACCAAGGCUAUGACGGGUAGUUGGUCUGAGAGGAUGACCAACCACAAUGGGACUGAGACACGGCCCAUACUCCUACGGGAGGCAGCAGUGAGGAAUCUUCCGCAAUGGGCGCAAGCCUGACGGAGCGACACCGCGUGGAGGACGAAGCCUUUGUUGGUGUAAACUCCUUUUUUCUCCGAAGAUAAUGACGGUAGGAGAAGAAUAAGAAGCAGCAAACUACGUGCCAGCAGCUGCGGUAAUACGUAGGCUUCAAGCGUUAUCCGGAAUUACUGGGUGUAAAGCGUCUGUAGGCGGCAGAGUAAGUUUGGCAUGAAAGACCGGGGCUUAACCCCGUGUUUGUGUCGAAAACUGCUCAGCUAGAAUCUGGGAGAGGGAAGCAGAAUGAUGUGAGUAGGGGUGCAAUCCGUUGAUACACAUCAGAAUACCAAAAGCGAAGGCAGCUUCCUGGAACAGUAUUGACGCUCAGAGACGAAAGCGUGGGGAGCGAAAAGGAUUAGAUACCCUUGUAGUCCACGCCCUAAACGAUGAUGACUAGGUGUCGGCGUAAGCCGGUGCUAUAAGCUAACGCGUUAAGUCAUCCACCUGAGGAGUACGGCCGCAAGGUUAAAACUCAAAUGAAUAGACGGGGACCCACACAAGCAGUGGAUCAUGUGGUUUAAUUCGACAAUAAACGAGGGACCUUACCCAGGCUUGACAUCCCGAGAAGUCCGAUGAAAGUUGGAUGUGCCCGCAAGGGAACUCGGUGACAGGCGCUGCAUGGUUGUCGUCAGCUCGUGCCUUGAGGUGUUCGGUUAAGUCCGUUAAC
rnacentral:rRNA from 1 species